rnacentral:misc_RNA from 1 species
GAAGUGCGAUAAGCAAUGCGAAUUGCAGAACCGUGAGUCAUCAGAUUUUUGAACGCAACUGGCGCCGGUUGGCUCUCCAACCGGCAUGCUUGUUUCAGUGUCUCUUUAUCUCAUCACCCAUAUCAUAAUGCGAGAGAUACCCUUCUCUUGCUAAGCUCGAAAGCACUCUGCGCUCUGCGAGCGGCUUCGACUUGUUCGAGGGUCGCACUCAAUGCAGCCGUCACAUUGCUCACAAUGUGAACUCAUUGAGAGCUGAGGCAGUGUAGCGUAAGCUACCAGUGCUUAGUCACACAAACUUUACUUGCAUCUGAAAUCAAGCAGUAUCACCCGCUGAACUUAAGC